rnacentral:rRNA from 1 species
GAACGCUGGCGGCGUGCUUAACACCUGCAAGUCGAACGAAGCAUUUGCGACAGAUUUUUUCGGAAUGAAGUUGCUUAUGACUGAGUGGCGGACGGGUGAGUAACGCGUGGGUAACCUGCCUUGUACUGGGGGAUAGCAGCUGGAAACGGCUGGUAAUACCGCAUAAGCGCACAAUGUUGCAUGACAUGGUGUGAAAAACUCCGGUGGUAUAAGAUGGACCCGCGUCUGAUUAGCUAGUUGGUGAGAUAACAGCCCACCAAGGCGACGAUCAGUAGCCGACCUGAGAGGGUGACCGGCCACAUUGGGACUGAGACACGGCCCAGACUCCUACGGGAGGCAGCAGUGGGGAAUAUUGCACAAUGGAGGAAACUCUGAUGCAGCGACGCCGCGUGAGUGAAGAAGUAAUUCGUUAUGUAAAGCUCUAUCAGCAGGGAAGAUAGUGACGGUACCUGACUAAGAAGCUCCGGCUAAAUACGUG